rnacentral:tRNA from 1 species
UCCCUGGUGGCUCAGAUGGUAAAGCAUCUGCCUGCAAUGCAGGAGACCCAGGUUCGAUCCCUGUGUUGAGAA